rnacentral:rRNA from 1 species
UACGUAGGGUGCAAGCGUUAUCCGGAUUCAUUGGGCGUAAAGGGUGCGUAGGUGGCGCUGUAGGUCAGGUGUGAAAUUUCGGAGCUUAACUCCGAAACUGCAUUUGAUACUGCGGUGCUUGAGGACUGGAGAGGAGACUGGAAUUUACGGUGUAGCAGUGAAAUGCGUAGAGAUCGUAAGGAAGACCAGUGGCGAAGGCGGGUCUCGUGGACAGUUCCUGACACUGAGGCACGAAGGCCAGGGGAGCAAACGGG